rnacentral:rRNA from 1 species
CAGUCGCCACGGUAAUACAGAGGGUGCGAGCGUUAAUCGGAUUUACUGGGCGUAAAGCGUGCGUAGGCGGCUUCUUAAGUCGGAUGUGAAAUCCCUGAGCUUAACUUAGGAAUUGCAUUCGAUACUGGGAAGCUAGAGCAUGGGAGAGGAUGGUAGAAUUCCAGGUGUAGCGGUGAAAUGCGUAGAGAUCUGGAGGAAUACCGAUGGCGAAGGCAGCCAUCUGGCCUAAUACUGACGCUGAGGUACGAAAGCAUGGGGAGCAAACAGGAUUAGAUACCCCUGUAGUCCCUGUCUCUUAUAC